rnacentral:rRNA from 1 species
UACAGAGACUGCAAGCGUUAUUCGGAUUCACUGGGCGUAAAGGGUGCGCAGGCGGCCGGGUGUGUCAGAUGUGAAAUCCCGAGGCUCAACCUCGGAACUGCGUCUGAAACUACUCGGCUAGAGUAUUGGAGAGGGUAACGGAAUUCACGGUGUAGCAGUGAAAUGCGUAGAUAUGGUGAGGAACACCAGAGGCGAAGGCGGUUACCUGGACAAUUAAUGACGCUGAGGCACGAAAGCGUGGGGAUCAAACAGG